UAGAGUUUUAUCCUGGCUCAGAUUGAACGCUGGCGGCAGGCCUAACACAUGCAAGUCGAACGGUAGCACAGAGAGCUUGCUCUCGGGUGACGAGUGGCGGACGGGUGAGUAAUGUCUGGGAAACUGCCUGAUGGAGGGGGAUAACUACUGGAAACGGUAGCUAAUACCGCAUAACGUCGCAAGACCAAAGAGGGGGACCUUCGGGCCUCUUGCCAUCAGAUGUGCCCAGAUGGGAUUAGCUAGUAGGUGGGGUAACGGCUCACCUAGGCGACGAUCCCUAGCUGGUCUGAGAGGAUGACCAGCCACACUGGAACUGAGACACGGUCCAGACUCCUACGGGAGGCAGCAGUGGGGAAUAUUGCACAAUGGGCGCAAGCCUGAUGCAGCCAUGCCGCGUGUAUGAAGAAGGCCUUCGGGUUGUAAAGUACUUUCAGCGGGGAGGAAGGCGAUAAGGUUAAUAACCUUGUCGAUUGACGUUACCCGCAGAAGAAGCACCGGCUAACUCCGUGCCAGCAGCCGCGGUAAUACGGAGGGUGCAAGCGUUAAUCGGAAUUACUGGGCGUAAAGCGCACGCAGGCGGUCUGUCAAGUCGGAUGUGAAAUCCCCGGGCUCAACCUGGGAACUGCAUUCGAAACUGGCAGGCUAGAGUCUUGUAGAGGGGGGUAGAAUUCCAGGUGUAGCGGUGAAAUGCGUAGAGAUCGGAGGAAUACCGGUGGCGAAGGCGGCCCCCGGACAAAGACGACGUCAGGUGCGAAAGCUGGAGCACUC
rnacentral:rRNA from 1 species